CCUGGCGGCACUAGCGCGGUGGUCCCACCUGACCCCAUGCCGAACUCAGACGUGAAACGCCGGAGCGCCGAUGGUAGUGUGGGGUCUCCCCAUGUGAGAGUAGGGAACUGCCAGGC
rnacentral:rRNA from 1 species